rnacentral:rRNA from 1 species
GCAUAUCAGUAAGCGGAGGAAAAGAAACUAACCAGGAUUCUCCCAGUAACGGCGAGUGAACGGAGAUUAGCCCAUCACCGAAGUCUAUCCACUUCUGUGGACAGGACAAUGUGGUGUUCAGGUGUGUAUCUGGGAGCGCCAGCCUACCCGAAGUCCAUCUCCGAUUCCGGCUUGGACAUAGCCCUUGGCGGGUGAAAGGCCCGUCCGGGUAGGCUUGUAGCAUUUCGCGAUCCUCAGACAUACAUGCCUUCGAGUCGGAUUGCUUGAGAAUGCAGUCCAAAGUGGGUGGUAAACUCCAUCCAAGGCUAAAUACUGGCACGAGUCCGAUAGUAGACAAGUACCGUGAGGGAAAGUUGAAAAGUACUCUGAAGAGAGAGUAAAGAGCACGUGAAGCCGCUUGCAGGGAAGCUGGUGGAGUCAAGCUUCUUGUCUGGUGGAUUGGCAGUGGAGUUGUGUUGUCUCGGGACGUGAUACGGGUUGACCUGGAAACGGUUGGAUGCAUUCACGUGCAUUUCAAGUCGCUCCGGGAAGAACGCUUGUGCCUGUGUCUAUCUCCCUGCUCCAUUGUCUUAUCUGCCGUGACAUACAUCAUGGUCAAUAGUGGUUAUUGUUUCUCGUACCGUGUGAGUGCUUAACCGUGCCUUGGCGGGCUUUACCGUUCGCCGGGCAUGGAAUGGCAGAAGGCAUGCCUGGGCC